AAGACCACUAUAAAGGCUGCUAACCUUAAAAUAAUGGAAACAUUUGGUCUUU
rnacentral:tRNA from 2 species